rnacentral:misc_RNA from 1 species
GAUGAAGAACGUAGCGAAAUGCGAUAAGUAAUGUGAAUUGCAGAAUUCAGUGAAUCAUCGAAUCUUUGAACGCACAUUGCGCCCAUUAGUAUUCUAGUGGGCAUGCCUGUUCGAGCGUCAUUAAUUCCACUUAAGCCCUGCUUAGUGUUGGGAAUCUACUCUAGUGGUGCUACCCUGGAGCUACCCCUGAAAGGGGGCUGGCCCGGUAGCUACCCUGUAGUUCCUCAAAGAUAGUGCGCGGAGUUGCGUGGUCCUCUGAGCUUAGUAACUAUACACCUAGCUUUUGAGUGUCCCACGGCGCCUGCCGUUUAAACCCCAUCUUUUAAUGGUUGACCUCGGAUCAGGUAGGAAUACCCGCUGAACUUAAGCAUAUCAAUAAGCGGAGGA